rnacentral:rRNA from 1 species
GUGUCAGCAGCCGCGGUAAUACGUAUGGAGCGAGCGUUGUCCGGAAUUAUUGGGCGUAAAUGGUACGCAGGCGGUUUAAUAAGUCGAAUGUUAAAGAUCGGGGCUCAACCCCGUAAAGCAUUGGAAACUGAUAAACUUGAGUAGUGGAGAGGAAAGUGGAAUUCCUAGCGUAGUGGUGAAAUACGUAGAUAUUAGGAGGAAUACCAGUAGCGAAGGCGACUUUCUGGACACAAACUGACGCUGAGGUACGAAAGCGUGGGGAGCAAACAGGAUUAGAUACCCUCGUAGUCC